ACAAAGGGCUGAAGAGUGCAGUCUUCUUACAAGGUUUCAGAAGAGGACUUUCUAUUAGGAAUUAGAUUAGAAGCCAUUUGUGUCACAUUCUCACAAGAAAUCUGGAUGUAUUCUGCCUGGGUCCCAGCCACUUUUGAGCCAUUUGAAUUCAAAAGUAGAUGGGCUAAAUUGUUUGGCAGAGGAAGUUUCAAGAGAGUCUAAUGGCCAGGCUGUGUGACAGCUGCUUCUCACUGUGUUUAGUGAGGUUUAUAAUGAAAAUUCAAAGUAGGAAAAUAUGAAGAUUUGCAGUUUAAUGAGGACAGGAAUGUGGACAUGGCUGAGACUGAAGAAAGAUGGUGGAAGUUUGUAGGAAGGACCAAGUAUCCAUACUAGUUAGAGAUGGCACUAGCAAAGACAAGGCAUGCAUUUCACAGAAGGACAGCUGGGGGAAAUGCCUUGACGGUAAGGUUCCACUCGUGCAGCGCUCCAACUUGUAAAGAGGAGAAUUAAUUUGCCGUGGGAGAGCCCUGACUUGAGAAUGCUGCAGUGAGCUGCAGAGUAAGGCUAUCUUAAGUACAGCCUGAGGACCAUUGCUUAAAGAUGUGAAGAUGAAGCUUAAGAUAUCAGAAGACUCCAAGAUACUGGAAAUGCAGACAUAUGGACUCCUCAUCAAGGAAAGCAUUCUACAAGACCUUGUGAAGAAUAGAUAUGGCUACAAAUUUCCCUGUUCCAAUGCUCACCGCUAGAAGACUUGUGGCUGUAGUCUUACAAUGGUACAUCAACCCCAGGUUCUUAAUGGACAGCAUCCUGUUUACACACUGCAGCCCUUCCCUGACUUUGACUUGACCUCCUCUUGUCUCUAGGUAGAACUUCCUUCACCUUUUUCCCAUUGAUAGAUUGAUCUUACAUAUGCAGAUUCGAGGCAUUCCAAUGGAGUUAUUCAUUUGGCAUAAGUGGGCAGCUAAGCCCUCCAAAGGGUGGGAUGGUAAACUUCCAGACACCCUCACUGAUGAAACUGCCCUGACAGGAGAUAUAUUCCAAGGACACCCUGGAGCCUUUACCUUCACCCCUCUGGUUAGCUAAGCACUGACUUUCAGAGAUGUCCAUGUCCUGAUCCUUGAAACCUGUGUCUAUGCCACCUUGAAUGACGAAGAGUUUUCAUAGACGUGGCCAAGGCUUUUACAGUGGUAAGCUGAUCCUGUAGGAUUCUAUGUAAUCACUGGGCCCUUAUCUCGGGAAGCAGAAGGACUCCAGCCAGAAAGUGUGACAGAGACAAAUGAAAAAGAAGAUCGUGUUCAUGGGAUAUGGGCAGUGUCUACCUGGAAAAGGCUGUAGUUGAAACAAUUUUAACAUCUCCAGUAAUUGGACAUAAUAUUUUUAUUUAACCAAUAGUUUUAAAUUAAGGAACAAGGUUUUCACAAAAAAAAAAAAAACCUUGGUAACCAUGAGAACUUACUUGUAGGCAUCUAGACCUUCAGGUACAGCAUUUAGGAUUACAAUGCAUAGCAACAGACUAAACUUCAACAAAAGGCAAAGAAGUGGAUACCCGUGACUCUUAGGAUUCCUGAACGCCUACUGACCCCUGCAUUUUAACCCAGUGAGGCCUGUAUUGAAGUCCUGGACCCUGAGACUGGUAGCUGAUAUAACUGCAGUGAUUUUGGCAUCCGUCUGUGUUCACUCAAUUGAGUAGCCUCAGGGAACCUACGCAGGGUAGAAAGACUCAGGCACUGUGCCACAAGGUUUGGAAAUGAACAGAAGAUCUGGACAGAUGAUGCCCCUGAGUACUAGGAGCUGCCAAUCUGGUGCCUUGGAAGAGGUUGGUGAAGAGGGCAAGGGCUUUACUUCCAAUGGACUGAGAAGCUCAGUGCUCCAAAUCUGCCCAGAUGAACAUGUAGAACUUACCUACCCUCAUAUCAACAUAACGGUUCUCUAGAGAAUCAGAACUCAUAGGAUGAGUGUCAAAAGGGAUUUAUUAUAUGGGGCGACAAGAUAGGGUUGUCUAGCAGUGGCUAUCUCAUUUCAGAGAGGCUGAGAACCUGGUCUUUAGCUGUGUUAAAAGGCCCAAAAAACUGGCUCUAAUAUUGGCUCUCAUAGCAACGAGAUAAAUGCAUUUGCUAGCACAGUGUUAGCAAGCACCCAAAGACCACAGCUUCCUUCUUCCAUGUCCUUUUAUCAGGGUAGGGAACUACCAAAAGGUACUGCCCACAGUUAGGAUGGGUCUUCCCACUCCAAAUAAUCUGCUCAAGAAAGUACCUUACACUAGUGCCCAGUGGCUCACUUUACAUUCGAUUCCAGAUCAAUCCAGACAUGUUAACAACCAAGCUUUGCCAUCAUGAUGUGCUCAUAAAUUUCCCAUUAAGAAUAGGUAGGCAUGCUCAAGGGUUAGAAUUAAGUUUAUAUCAUCUCUUACGAUGGUGAUGGAGUUUUCUUGAGGGAGCUACUUUGACUCUGGGAUGAUUUCAUUUAAGUGGGAGUGAUAACAGCUGCCUUUAUUAGGACUUUCCUACCCACCAUUUUCAUACAUGUCAAGUCAAAGGAAAUGAAUGAAGAGGAGAGAGGAGUCCUUAGUUGAUGCUACAUCUAAGCGGCCCUCUCCAGUCCACUGUCAACACUUCGUACAACACAAGGUAGCAGACCUCCUGAUUCCUUGACCCUGAUGCCACUUGGGCUGGACAAUUGCACAUGUAUAUAGCAAUGGGCCCAGGUAAGAACCUUCUCUAAGAGGAGUCCUCCCUUUGAAUGUAGAAUCUGAUGUCUACCACCACACCUUGCCUAACAAGGGAUCUGCGUGCAUCUCUUGGAUAGGUCUGGUAACGAGAGCCUGUUUCCACAUUCUAAUAGGAAAAGCCACACUCAUCUCCUAGGAUUCCUCCAAGACUCUGGCAUCUCGUUACCUGAGACACCACAUUCUUCAUGAGAAUUUUUGAGCAACUAAACACUAGCAAGAGGUACAUGGUUUGCUCUGUGUGCCUUUCAGCCUUGCUGUGCCUUCUCAGUGCAGAAAUGUAAUGUGUCAACCCGCCACAAACUAGACACUCCAAAAUCAUGAGUGCAAACAAGGCUUUUCACUCAAUGCUGGUCGGUUACUCCUCUUUUUUUCAUCUGGUUCCCAGUUUAGCCUCAAACAGCAAGUGUUCGUUGAGCUGCAGGGAAGCUGGGCCUUUGUCAACAGAAAGGCUAGCUUCCUAAGCAGAAUCCACCUCGACAUGUUGUUUAAUGGCAAGGACCCAUUCUGAAGAACAUGCACUUGGUGAUUUUCCUUCUCAGGGUCUCCUCAGUGCACACACCAAUACAAUCUGGGUAACGUAGUCUAGACACACUGAGGUGACAUAGUACAGCUCUGUUGUGUGCAGGGUGAAUGAAAUCUAAGUGGCACAGGAGGGUAUUUCUUUUGUUUGCUCUUCAAGUAUUCCAAGGAAGAUCAGAAGACAUCUCUGUACUCAUUUAAUCUUUAUGGUUGAAUAAAAUAGAUGUGCAUUAAAAUUUAUGUCCCAAGCAUUUUCUUGCUUAUAGAAGAGAAUCUAUGAGGACUAAAUGCAUGGUGUUCUGGAAGAACUGUUGAUAUGUUACCUAGCUGUGUAUUAUGGUGACUGUAAGUCAGGCAUAAGUAUUUUUGUAGUGUUUCCAAACUUUCAUCUAGCAAGCCCUGUUCCAAGAAUCUGUCCUAAGGAAAUGAUCAGAGUUAGGCAGGCUUCUUCCCUAGAAGGUAUUUCUGAGUAUGAUUUAUGAAGAUA